UUCCUGAACCAAAUUAAAGCUUUGUUAGCAGCAGUAAUAAUUGUUUGUGUUAAGUAUUUUUGGAAUCUUGCUUAAAAGUCUAUUUGAUGGAUAAAUAUUGAUCAUUUGUACCAUGUCAAGCACCAUUGAAAUUCUCAUUGCCAUUAAUUAAGAAUUUGGAACUAUGAGUUUACAGGGUUGUGGAGUACCCACUAUCUUCAGUGAACAAGGAAGGGAUAGUCAGGAGACCACCGCUGUGAUAGUGAACUUCAUUCACAUUCUAAGGUAAAGCAUACCUUCGGACCACUGACCACCCCUCCACAACCUGAUCCAACAAAUUCAAUCAGUUCCUCAGUCAUAAGCACAAAAAGUGAAGAACCUAACAACAGUGAAGAGGAGGUUGGUACGCUUUUUGUCAGUGGUCUUCCUAUGGACAUUACACCACGUGAGCUUUACCUUCUCUUUCGAUCAUUUAAGGGUUAUGAAGGUUCACUGAUCAAGCUAACAUCACAACAACCAGUUGGCUUUGUUACAUUUAACAGCAGAACGGGAGCAGAAGAAGCAAAGAAUGCUGCAUUCACCUGGCCUGCUGCUGCAGUGCACGCUCAGGUGCACUGGUAUCCUCCAUCUGAAGUACCUCUGGAAGGCUGGAAGUCUCGUCAGUUUUGUUAAGUAUUUAAUUGCCCUUCUCCAAGAUUUAUCCAUGGAGUGAUGCACAAGGACAGACUGAAUUUUGUUUUCAGGUUGGA